rnacentral:tRNA from 1 species
GGUUGUGGCUCAGUGGUAGAACCCUCGCCGCGCACGUGUGAGACACUGGGUUCGAUCCUCAGCACCA